AUGUCGAUCCCUAUAUUGCUUGUAAGGCAACUAUGGACAUCAAAGUGUUAUUUGUUGAAGAGCUGGGGCACACUGAGCACCUGCAUGUCAGCGUUGUGCACCACUCAGACUGGAGAGGCUGUAAAGAGCACAGCACAAGCAAACGAACCAGAUGAGAGAGCAACCCUGCAAAGACACAAGACUGGAGUUUCCUUUCCUAUUAAGGUUUUG